GACGAACGCUGGCGGCGUGCUUAACACAUGCAAGUCGAACGGAAAGGCCCUGCUUUUGUGGGGUGCUCGAGUGGCGAACGGGUGAGUAACACGUGAGUAACCUGCCCUUGACUUUGGGAUAACUUCAGGAAACUGGUGCUAAUACCGGAUAGGAGCUCCUGCUGCAUGGUGGGGGUUGGAAAGUUUCGGCGGUUGGGGAUGUACUCGCGGCUUAUCAGCUUGUUGGUGGGGUAGUGGCUUACCAAGGCUUUGACGGGUAGCCGGCCUUAGAGGGGGAACGGCCACAUGGGGCCUGAGGUACGGCCCAGACUCCUACGGGGGGCAGCAGUGGGGAAUAUUGCACAAUGGGCGGAAGUCUGAUGAAGAAACCCCGCGUGCGGGAUGACGGCCUUCGGGUUGUAAACCGCUUUCGCCUGUGACGAAGCGUGAGUGACGGUAAUGGGUAAAGAAGCACCGGCUAACUACGUG
rnacentral:rRNA from 1 species